rnacentral:rRNA from 1 species
UACAGAGGUCUCAAGCGUUGUUCGGAUUCAUUGGGCGUAAAGGGUGUGUAGGUGGCGCGCUAAGUCGGGUGUGAAAUUUCGGAGCUUAACUCCGAAACUGCAUUCGAUACUGGCGUGCUUGAGGACUGCAGAGGAGACUGGAAUUCCUGGUGUAGCAGUGAAAUGCGUAGAUAUCAGGAGGAACACCGAUGGCGAAGGCAGGUCGCUGGGCUGACACUGACGCUCAUGCACGAAAGCGUGGGGAGCAAACAGG